GAUGAACGCUGGCGGCGUGCCUAAUACAUGCAAGUCGAGCGAACAGACGAGGAGCUUGCUCCUCUGACGUUAGCGGCGGACGGGUGAGUAACACGUGGAUAACCUACCUAUAAGACUGGGAUAACUUCGGGAAACCGGAGCUAAUACCGGAUAAUAUAUUGAACCGCAUGGUUUAAUAGUGAAAGACGGUUUUGCUGUCACUUAUAGAUGGAUCCGCGCCGCAUUAGCUAGUUGGUAAGGUAACGGCUUACCAAGGCAACGAUGCGUAGCCGACCUGAGAGGGUGAUUGGCCACACUGGAACUGAGACACGGUCCAGACUCCUACGGGAGGCAGCAGUAGGGAAUCUUCCGCAAUGGGCGAAAGCCUGACGGAGCAACGCCGCGUGAGUGAUGAAGGUCUUCGGAUCGUAAAACUCUGUUAUUAGGGAAGAACAAAUGUGUAAGUAACUAUGCACGUCUUGACGGUACCUAAUCAGAAAGCCACGGCUAACUACGUG
rnacentral:rRNA from 1 species